rnacentral:rRNA from 1 species
CUCGGAUCAGGUAGGGAUACCCGCUGAACUUAAGCAUAUCAAUAAAGCGGAAGAA